GACGAACGCUGGCGGCGUGCCUAAUACAUGCAAGUUGAGCGCUGAAGGUUGGUACUUGUACCAACUGGAUGAGCAGCGAACGGGUGAGUAACGCGUGGGGAAUCUGCCUUUGAGCGGGGGACAACAUUUGGAAACGAAUGCUAAUACCGCAUAAAAACUUUAAACACAAGUUUUAAGUUUGAAAGAUGCAAUUGCAUCACUCAAAGAUGAUCCCGCGUUGUAUUAGCUAGUUGGUGAGGUAAAGGCUCACCAAGGCGAUGAUACAUAGCCGACCUGAGAGGGUGAUCGGCCACAUUGGGACUGAAACACGGCCCAAACUCCUACGGGAGGCAGCAGUAGGGAAUCUUCGGCAAUGGACGAAAGUCUGACCGAGCAACGCCGCGUGAGUGAAGAAGGGUUUCGGAUCGUAAAACUCUGUUGGUAGAGAAGAACGUUGGUGAGAGUGGAAAGCUCAUCAAGUGACGGUAACUACCCAGAAAGGGACGGCUAACUACGUG
rnacentral:rRNA from 1 species